UGAGACUGGGCCCUCCACAAACAAGGAAACUGCUGACACUUUGAUAUUGAACUUUAAGCUCCCCAAAUUGUGAGAUAUAAAUUUCUAUGAUUUUAAAACUACCCAAUCUCAGGUAUUUAGUUAUAACAGCGCAAACAAACUAAGACAACUGGGGAUCAGGAGUCAAAUGUUUACGAGUCCCACGUCAUGCUGCUAUUCAGGGGAAAAGAAAGCAAACAAACAAACAAAAAAAAACCCUUCUAUCUCUCUAGGAAGAAUUGGUUAGUAAAUUAGAAAAAAAUUCAAAGUCAAAUGAUAGCAAAACCAAACAAAGUCAGGAGUUGGAAAAGAUACUUCAGAAAUUAAAAACAAUUAAAGGUGUAACCCUGCUAUUUUCUCUUAGAAAUAUAUAUUUUUAAAUACUAUGUCUGUCCUUAUAGAAAAAUUGUGGAAUGUAUACAUCGAAAUCUCAUCGGGGUAUCUGGACGUAGGGGCAUUAUGUUCUUGUUUUUCUGUUCUUUUCCUCUGAUUCAUUCACUUUCUACAAUUUCAAGGUAUCACCUGUUGCUUGCUGCGUCCGACAUGACAUCGGCACUUUGUCUAGGCAAUGGCAUGCAUAUAUAGAAGUUUUCAAAGUCUUUCUCACUUCUAAGCUAGCAAAAAAGAGAGUGGAGGGAAAAGUUUUAUGUCAAGAGAUGUUUUGGCAUAAGGUUUAGCUGAGGUUUGGGCAGAGAGAACUGUUUGGAAAAUCAAACCGGUAGGAGAGGGGAUUUUAAUAAUUGUGUUUUCAUUUCACCCUGGGUUUUCUUAAAAUUCAAGUAAAUGUUGACUUUGCUUUUUGAGGAUGGGUCAUAUUUCUUUGUAUUUCUUUUAUGGAAACAUGACCUUGAGAUUGAACAACAGGAAUUGACUUCAUGGAUCAUUGUUGCAUUUUUCUCAAACACAAAACAUUGCCUCAAAUUAGAAAAGCUAGAUCAUGUUAGUAAGUCUUGUUGAUUUGCUAUUUAAUAAGAACACCACCCUCUAAUUAUUUACAUACCCUCAGUCCACAUUCCUAUCCUCACAUGCUUAGGAUAUUGGAUCUGUCUGAUAUAGAGGAAUUGCAUGAAAUUUAUAAGUUGAAUUUACUUCUUUCAUAAUCAGGUGUGAUAUCCUUGGCUAUUAGAACAAUUGAUACUAUUUUGGGGAGUUCUUCCCAAGAUCUUCCCAAGAGGGUGUUCAGUGGAACACCCUCUCACAUCUGAUUUUAACCCCAGAUUUCCUCAGCAAGCUACUAUGUACCUAUGUCAGACAGAUGUAGCUUAUAUUUGCU
rnacentral:lncRNA from 1 species